UACGUAGGGACCAAGCGUUGUUCGGAUUUACUGGGCGUAAAGGGCGCGUAGGCGGCUUAACAAGUCACUUGUGAAAUCUCCGGGCUUAACUCGGAACGGCCAAGUGAAACUGUCAAGCUAGAGUGCAGAAGGGGCAAUCGGAAUUCUUGGUGUAGCAGUGAAAUGCGUAGAUAUCAAGAGGAACACCUGAGGUGAAGACGGGUUGCUGGGCUGACACUGACGCUGAGGCGCGAAAGCCAGGGGAGCAAACGGG
rnacentral:rRNA from 1 species